AUGGUGGUGAUGGUGGUGAUGGUGGUGAUGGUGGUGAUGAUGGUGGUGAUGGUGGUGAUGGUGGUGGUGAUGGUGGUGAUGGUGAUGAUGGUGGUGAUGAUGGUGAUGGUGGUGGUGAUGGUGGUGAUGGUGAUGAUGGUGGUGAUGGUGGUGGUGGUGGUGAUGGGGGUGAUGGUGGUGAUGGUGGUGGUGGUGGUGGUGAUGGGGGUGAUGGUGGUGGUGAUGGUGAUGGUGGUGGUGAUGGUGGUGAUGGUGGUGAUGAUGGUGGUGAUGGUGAUGGUGGUGAUGAUGGUGAUGGUGGUGAUGGUGGUGAUGGUGAUGAUGGUGGUGAUGAUGGUGAUGAUGGUGAUGAUGGUGAUGGUGGUGAUGAUGGUGGUGAUGGUGGAGGUGAUGGUGGUGAUGGUGGUGGUCAUGGUGGUGAUGGUGGUGAUGGUGGUGGUGAUGGUGAUGGAGGUGAUGAUGGUGAUGAUGGUGGUGAUGGUGGUGGUGAUGGUGAUGAUGGUGGUGAUGGUGGUGGUGAUGGUGGUGAUGGUGGUGAUGGUGGUGAUGGUGGUAAUGGGUGUGAUGGUGGUGGUGAUGGUGGUGAUGGUGGUGGUGAUGGUGGUGAUGGUGGUGAUGGUGGUGAUGAUGGUGGUGAUGGUGAUGAUGGUGGUGAUGGUGGUGGUGAUGGUGGUGAUGGUGGUGAUGGUGGUGAUGGUGGUAAUGGGUGUGAUGGUGGUGGUGAUGGUGGUGAUGGUGGUGGUGAUGGUGGUGAUGGUGGUGAUGGUGGUGAUGAUGGUGGUGAUGGUGAUGAUGGUGGUGAUGAUGGUGGUGAUGGGGGUGAUGGUGGUGAUCAUGGUGGUGAUGGUGGUGAUGGGUGUGACGGUGGUGGUGAUGGUGGUGAUGGUGGUGAUGGUGGUGGUGAUGGUGGUGAUGGUGGUGAUGGUGGUGAUGAUGGUGGUGAUGGUGAUGAUGGUGGUGAUGGGUGUGAUGGUGGUGAUGGUGGUGAUGGGGUUGAUGGUGAUGGUGAUGGGGGUGAUGGUGGUGAUGGGUGUGAUGGUGGUGAUGAUGGUGGUGAUGGGGUUGAUGGUGGUGGUGAUGGGGGUGAUGGUGGUGUGUGUGUGCGAGUUGAGAGUGGCUCAUUUUCCCCAUUCCCUGCUGGCCAAAAGCAUCAUCAGAACCCAUAGCCAGUGGAGACUUUUGCCAAGAAAGGAAAAGGAAGCAAGGGAGUUUGCAAAGACACUUUGCUGGCUUCCCAGUCAUGGCCACAGUAAAAUCCCGAGAGGAAACGUCUCUGCUUUCACAAGAGUCUAA
ensembl:lncRNA